GGUAAGACCAUUAGACAGGCUAUAAAAUGUCACCCUGUAACUAACAAUGAAGCAGAGUAUGAAGCUGUGAUUACAGGUUUAGAGUUGGUACUGGAACUUGGCAUCACACAUAUUAUAAUCAAGAGUGAUUCACAGCUCGUGGUAAAUCAAAUACUGGGGACUUAUGUAGCAAGGGAAACACGAAUGCAAGAGUAUCUCGAAAAGGUACGAGAACUGAUAAGACAGUUCCAAACUUGGAAGGUAAUGCAAAUCCCAAGAGAGGAGAACGCGGAGGCAGAUGCUCUAGCUAAUCUUGCAUCUACGGCAGACAUAGAAAAUGACGCAAAUGCUUCAAUCAUACAUUUAUUCCAUUUAGUUCUCGAACCUGACAAAAAUGGGGUAAAUUUUAAUCACUUAACUUGGGAUUGGAGAAACGAAAUAGUAAUUUUUUGCAGCAUGGAACCGUUCUUGAGGAUAAAAUAAAGGUUCAUGCACUUCGAAAGAAAGCUGCUUGUUAUUGCCUAUAUCAAGGAAACCUUUACCGAAAAAUGUUUGGUGCUCCAUUAGCAAGGUGUCACGAUCCUUCUCAAACGGAGUAUGUGAUAAGAGAAAUACAUGAGAGACAUUGUGGAAAUCAUGCAUGAGGCAUGUCACUUGUAAAGACAUUGAUUCAAGCAGGAUACUAUUGGCCUAAAAUGGAAGAGAAAGCGAAUGAUUUCGUGUCUAAAUGUGACAGAUGUCAAAGAUACGGUAACAAUAUGCAUAGACCAGCCGAAUUAUUACAUCAUGUUGUAUCUCUGUGGCCCUUCAUGAAAUGGGGGAUAGACAUCGUAAGUCCAUUACCACAAGCAAAAGGUCAGGUAAAGUUUUUACUCGUACUUACUGAUUAUUUCACUAAAUAGGUAGAGGGCAUUCAAACAGGUACGAUAGAAAGAGGUUAAAGAUUUUAUCUGGAGAAACAUCAUAUGUCGCUUAGGGGUACCAAAGGAAAUCGUAUGUGAUAAUGGUCCACAAUUCAUAGGAGCACAAAUCAGGAGUUCUUCCAAAGUUGGCAAAUUAAAAGGAUAACUUCAAGAACAUACCAUCCUGUAAGCAAUGGAUAAGUGGGAUCCACAAACAAAGUCAUAAUCAAUAUUUUAAAGAAAAGAUUGCAAGACUCAAAAGGCAAUUGGCCUGAAGUGUUACCUGCAAUACUAUGGGCGUAUCGAACAACAACGAAAACAAGCACGGGAGAAACGCCAUUUUCAAUGGUUUAUAGAGCAGGGGCCUUAAUACUAGUAGAGAUCGGGGAACUAAGCACAAGGUACGUUGUUUCAACGGAAGACUCAAACAAUGAAGAGUUACGAGUGAAUCUUGAUUUACAUUACCCCGAAGGAUAAUGUAUAAGGGAGUUUUUCCACUUUAAGUGACAUUAUUCAAAAUGGGAUUAUUUCUUUAUUUUUAGAGUCGCCACUUGGGAUAAGAUUGGCUUUUGGUGUCCCAAGUCACCGGUUUAAAUUGAAUCCCAAAUCGAGGAAAAUUUCGACUUCCAGUUGGAGUCUGCAAACCAGAAAUUCUAAGCAAGGAAUUCUGUUGACCCGAGGGAAGGUGUUAGGCACCCUUGGAUUCCGUGGUUCUAGCAUGGUUGCUUAAACUAUUACAAAUGGCUAAAAUCUGAUUUUUAUACAUGUUCCAACCUAUAGUGCGAUUUAAAGAUUAUUUACCGCUUUUAAUUUGAUUUUAAAGAAAGUGAACGUCAGUUUAAAAACGUGCUUUUCGAUCACGUCACAUGGAAUGCACCCGGAUCCUCGAAAUAUUCUUAUUCGACGUUUUUGGAUUUGGAUUUAGGUUGCAUGAAAUGCACACCUGUAUUUAAGAAGGUAAUUUUAUUUAAGUAACAGACCUAAAGCAACUAACGUGUUUAUUAUCUUUGCGAGGGCCAUGAUAAUUUGCUAAAUGACAUGCCUCGGAUUUCUAUGCAGUAAAGUUAAUCAAGUGAGGGCCAUGUGUUUUGAGAUUUUAAUUGACAUGGCACACCUCAAAUUAUAACAAAAACAACAACAACCCAGUAUAACCUCACCUAGUGGGGUCUGGGGAGGUUAGUAUGUACGCAGAUCUUACCCCUACACUUGGGUAGAGAGGUUGUUUCCAAAUAGAUCCCCGGCAUCCUUCCCCCCAAGAACUUCCUACCUUGCUCUUGGGGAGACUCGAACUCAGAACCUCUCUGUUGAAAGUGGGGGUUGCUUACCAUCAGAGCAACCCCUCUCGUCAUGGCACACCUCAAAUUAUUCCUAAGAAUUUAUGACUUAAUUAAAGCAGACUACGAUGUUCUUAAUUUGUUAUUUCCCUAAACUUUGGUUUAAAACAAUAGGCUUAAUAAAACCAGAUUCAAACCAUAUGUAUCAAAUUGAAUCUACUGGGCAUCACCUUAGUGUAAAUGCAUAAAAGAAAAAUGGAAGGAAAGGAAUCAUGAUACCGUGACAAAUUGCUCAUGAAAACUUAGAAGAAACAAUACACAUUUACGUGCAUUCGUAACCCAACAAUUGAAACAGUGCCAUGUUCACUUCGUACAUUACUACUAAAUUCUUUAUACAUGUACUUCCUCUCCAUCAUUAGUCCCACUACCGUUCAAAAUAAUUGAUCCAUUUCCCUUGUCAACACAUGAAAGAUAAUCCAAACCGACCAAUACUUUUCAGAAUCACCCCCACAAACUUUCCUCUACCCAAAAAGCAUACAAAUAUCAAUGAAUUUAACAGCCGGCCGCUACAGAUCAUAAAUGAAUAUAACAACUUUCUCGCUAAAAGAUCAUAAAUCAGCAUUAAGUUGACAGCACCAGAAACUAAUCAAAGGAGGAAAUUUCGGCAAGUUCAAUAGCUGGCAUAUUCAAUGUAAUCAAAGAAAAGUCUAGCUACUAGUGGCCUAGAACUUGAAUUCAAUUUAUUAAAUGCAGGAAAACUUCCCAUCCUUACAUACAACAAUGAAAUAAUUCUUCACGAUAUUAUGCAAAAGCCAGCAAUAUGAAUGAAUCAAUGGUAUCACAGUCCACAAUGCAACAGAUUAAAAGAGUUACUUAGAAAAUGUAAAAGGACUGAAAAAUAAACCAUAAACUUGAUUAUCCACUGAAACCAUAAAUACAGAGGAGUUCAGACUGACCUAUUUCAGCAAGGAAGUUAAUAUGAGCCAAAUAAGAGCAGCAAAUCAGUUCAAACAGCUCGGCAAAAUAGAUAGAGCAAAUGCAACAACAUAUAUCUGGCACAAACUUCAGAAUCCUAGAGAAUGAGAAGACGAGGCAGUAGCAACUUCAAACGAAUUUUCUCUUGAUUUUUUUGCUAGAGAUUUUCAUAUUCAAAGAUACCGGAAUCCGUGUAUAUUCUUUUUCCGGAUUCGAAACAAACUCGACAGCUUCACUAAACUAUGAAAAUUCCCCAAAAGUGUAGAACAACGAAUUGAAAUUGAACCCAACUUUGUAACCUUGAAUUUCAGAUCUGAUCUCUGUAAUUUCACGACCUUGCUAGAGGCCUAAGCAUGUGUGUCUUCUCAUGAAGUGUAUGAGCAGGAUGUAUAUAUGAGAAUGGAGAAGUUUCAGAGCUGCUUCCAUGGCAUUUUGGUUGUUUUUUCUAGCUGAUUUUGUGAUUUUGAGAUUGCGGCUGUUUUUGGGGUCGAUUGGUGAGUGUGUGUAUGUGUUAUGACUGAUUUUAUAUGGAGAGAAUGGAGGAGCAGGGGCCUUUUCGUUGAAGAUGAUGGGAGCACGCAGAAGAGGUCCAAGCUCCGAGUGAAACAAAAAUGAGGAAGGGGUCACGCUAUUUCCGUGUCACUAGCUCCCUCCCCGUUCUUUCGCGUGUUCUCUUUUAAUGAGGGAGGGGGGUCCGAU
rnacentral:lncRNA from 1 species